AACGAACGCUGGCGGCAGGCUUAACACAUGCAAGUCGAGCGCCCCGCAAGGGGAGCGGCAGACAGGUGAGUAACGCGUGGGAAUCUACCCAUCUCUACGGAAUAACGCAUGGAAACGUGUGCUAAUACCGUAUACGUCCUUCGGGAGACAGAUUUAUCGGAGAUGGAUGAGCCCGCGGUGGAUUAGCUAGUUGGUGGGGUAAAGGCCUACCAAGGCGACGAUCCAUAGCUGGUCUGAGAGGAUGAUCAGCCACACUGGGACUGAGACACGGCCCAGACUCCUACGGGAGGCAGCAGUGGGGAAUAUUGGACAAUGGGCGCAAGCCUGAUCCAGCCAUGCCGCGUGAGUGAUGAAGGCCCUAGGGUUGUAAAGCUCUUUCACCGGUGAAGAUAAUGACGGUAACCGGAGAAGAAGCCCCGGCUAACUUCGUGCCAGCAGCCGCCGUAAGAC
rnacentral:rRNA from 1 species